CAAACUACUACUCUGCUCUUCUCUCUCCCUCGACCGACAAACUCUCUUCUCCUCUAUACCAAACAACCUUUGUUGCUCCCAAAAGUGAAGUAUACACUACCUUAUUGCAGAGUUUUCUUUAAAUCUCUCUCACCCAUUUCACUUUCUUGCACCCUAAAAGACAAGUUUUGACAAAAACCAUUACUCUCUCUUCUCUCCACGCCUCUCCCUGCUUAAAUUCCUCUCUCUUUGUGGUCCAACUUCCAUAUAUAUUACAGAUCUUUUGUUUUUUUCGUUUCAUUUGAGGGACAAGAGAAGAGACAAAGAAAUUAAGAUCAAGACUCCAAGACAUGGAUUGGCAUGGCAACUUAAG
rnacentral:misc_RNA from 1 species